UUCACACAAUUCUGAACAAAACAAUAUAAGCAACACUUUAUACUGCAAAGUGUCAAAAAAUAUAUACAGUCAUAUAUACAAAAAAUGUAAUAAGAGCAGAGAUACAAUAAAAACAAAAACAAUAAAUAGCACACAUGUAAAAACACACUAAAGGAAAUCUACACUAUUGCACUAAGAACAGAAAACACAAGCUAAAACUAAAACCUAACCUUUCUGGCCUUCCUUGACGCAAAAUCAUCAAUAAUAUCAUCAUUUACAAUCUGUCCCCUGUUGAGUGAUUGAUGCUGAUGACGGCAAGGCCAGUGAGCCGUUCCUGAGACAUGGUUGACCUAAGCGUCAGCGAGCUCUCUGAUGCGCCUGAGCCGUCAUCACAAGGAGAAAUUGACGUGGCAGAGCCACUGGGAGUCUAACCAUAUAUGUUUGAGCCAGCCGUGUCAGACGCUGGGAGUGACAGUGACAGUGGUGAGGACGACGGAGCCGGUGGAAGGAUAGACCACGAUAUAGAUCGCCUACAAAAUACAGAAUGGUCUUUUCCAGGAUUUUUUCAAAAGGAGGCAAGAGGCAAAAGGCGUUUUGCACCAUAUAGGAGAAAAGAAUCUGGGAAGAGUUUUUUGGUGAGCUUUUUUUUUCUUGAAAAACAAUAUGCAAAAACACCAAAAGGAGAAGAGGAACUGCCACUCAUGCUGGCUGACCUUGGAAAAUGUUCACUAACCAUAUCUGAAAAUAUGACACAUUCAGAGUUUUCAGAGUUGCUUGUGAGUGCAUAUCCAAGAUUGGCAAGUAUCUAUGAUGGCUGGAUGCUGUACAAGUCCACAGGUGGGGGUGGGCGGCAGAGCUUGGUUGUUAUCCCUCCAGAUCUAUAUGGAUACACUGGCCAGCAGCUCAAAUCAGUGAGCGGGAAUGGAAAAUACACAUUGUAUAUUUCUCCUUUACAAAAAGAACUUGAUACAAUUCCAUUACCACCCGAAGCAAAGGAGUUUGAGAACAUGCCCAAAGCCCAGUGUACAACCUGCAAGAAAAUGGUUCCACUUCAGAUUAUUCCAGUACACAUCAAGGAAUGCAAGACAGAACUUGUAGAUUUGUCCUAUUCUGCUGAAGAGAAAGCUGCAACGAAGAACAUGAAGAUGAAUUCCCAGAUUCCAUUUGCAACCAGAUAGACAAGUUCUGAGGAAAUCUUUGAUUGGAUCACUUGCCAAGUUGAUGAAACAAACACAUUUUCCAUCUGUGUGUCGCGAACUGACCUCUUCAGCAGAGGCAUGCAACAGUGGCAACGGCAGAAGAAGAAAUCGCCCAAAUGUAGACUUAAGGUCACAUUCUUUGGCGAGGUAGGCAUCGAUACUGGGGCCCUUAGCAGAGAAUUCCUCACAGGUACAAAUGUUUUUCUAUAUUUCAUUUCACGAUAACAGAACAUGUGUGCACAUCAAAUUCUUACAAGGCCAGAUGCAGGAUUAAAUAUAAUCGAGAACAAAAAGGAAAGGAAUUAUCCGCACUUUUGUAAAACCUACUACUGCAUCCAUUAUUAAACACUCCUUUUAUAACUUUUAAGGGAGGUUUGCUUUCUUUCUUUUAAACCGACUCCUGGGCUUCAAAUAAACGAACAUUUCUUACUCAAGUCAGGCAUUUUGUACGGAAUUACUUUACUCAAUUUCCUUCACUACCACCAAAAUCACCGCUUGAUUUGAUCCUUGAAACCCCAUCUGAGGUGAGGGGGACGAUAUCAAGGCUAUACAUAAAUCCAUUUGUUAUGGAAGGUUCUUCCCUUUCCAUCAUAAAAGAAAACUGGGAAAAGGAUAUGAAUACAAAUAUAUCUGAGGAUCACUGGGAUAGCAUAAUUCAAAGAAUUCCCUCUUCCUCCAUUUGUGCGAGACAUAGCCUUAUUGAGUUUAAAAUUGUACAUAGGCUUCAUAUGUCCAAGGUUAAACUAUCCAAAAUCUUUCCAGGGGUAAGUCCUAUGUGUGAUAGGUGUAAGCAAGCACCUGCCACUCUUUAUCAUACAUUCUGGUCAUGCUCUAGUUUAACAGCAUUUUGGUCCUCAAUAUUCGAGGUAUAUUCAGCAAUUUCAGGUUUCACUAUUCAUCCUUGUCCUUUUAUUGGAAUUUUUGGUGUACCAAUGGAGGAUCUUCCUCUACGAAAGCCACAAUUAAAUGGUAUGGCCUACUCCUCCCUCCUAGCGAGGCGGCUCAUUCUUUUACACUGGAAAAGUGACCGCCCGCCUUCGUUUGGUAGAUGGAUCUGUGAUGUUCUGUUUUUCCUUAAGAUUGAAAAACUGAGAUACACACUGAAUGGAUCAAUGGCAAAAUUUGAUGUAGCAUGGCGUCCAUUUAUUUCUUAUGUAGAACAGCUGACGGUGUCACUUGGCUCUGACUGAGAUGUGAAGUAAUUGGGUAAUCACUGUGGAUGUUUUUUUUGGUUUUUAAAAAAAUAUAUUUUUAUAUAUAUAUAUAUAUUUUUUGUUGUGUGUUUGUACUGUUGUGUGAUUGUGUGUAUCUAUAUUUGAUAAUUUGCUGUUAUUUUUGUCUCAAUUUGUUAUGUGUUCUCUCAAGGGCUUGUUUAUGUAUAUGUUUAAAACCUCAAUCAAAAUACAUUGACAAAAAAAACAAA